CAAAACGACUCUCGGCAACGGAUAUCUCGGCUCUCGCAUCGAUGAAGAACGUAGCGAAAUGCGAUACUUGGUGUGAAUUGCAGAAUCCCGUGAACCAUCGAGUCUUUGAACGCAAGUUGCGCCCAAAGCCGUUAGGCCGAGGGCACGUCUGCCUGGGCGUCACG
rnacentral:rRNA from 1 species